AGUGAACGCUGGCGGUAGGCCUAACACAUGCAAGUCGAACGGCAGCACAGUAAGAGCUUGCUCUUACGGGUGGCGAGUGGCGGACGGGUGAGGAAUACAUCGGAAUCUACUUUUUCGUGGGGGAUAACGUAGGGAAACUUACGCUAAUACCGCAUACGACCUACGGGUGAAAGCAGGGGAUAUUCGGACCUUGCGCGAUUGAAUGAGCCGAUGUCGGAUUAGCUAGUUGGCGGGGUAAAGGCCCACCAAGGCGACGAUCCGUAGCUGGUCUGAGAGGAUGAUCGGCCACACUGGAACUGGAACACGGACCAGACUCCUACGGGACGCAGCAGUGGGGAAUAUUAGACAAUGGGCGCAAGCCUGAUCCAGCCGUACCGCGUGGGUGAAGGAGGCCUUCGGGUUGUAAAGCCCUUUUGUUGGGAAAGAAAAGCAGCAGGUUAAUACCCCGCUGUUCUGACGGUACCCAAAAAAUAAGCACCGGCUAACUUCGUG
rnacentral:rRNA from 1 species